CCUUCCCCUACCUUCCUUUAACUUGUUCUUACUAAUCAGUCCUGGACACUGAUUGGCUGCUGGUCAAAGCUCUUUUACGCUGCCACGAACUGCUCCUGCCUUUUAUCCUCUGGGAUGUGGAGCUGAGGAGGGAGAAAAAAGGAUCAGCCAUGAUUAAGUGACAGAGCAGACUCAAUGAGUCAAAUGGCCUAAUUCUACUCCUAUGUCUUUUGGUCUUAUUGACAUCAUUCCAGUAGAUUCCCUAUGCAGCAUCUCUGAUGAGGAAGGAAAGGCUCAGCUCACAGAUGAAUAAAAGUUAAACGAUCCAAUGAGCUGCAGAGAAGUUUCAGGAAAUGACAUCAAACAACCUUGAAUCUUGACUCUUGAAUGGUGUAAGCUAUAGCCACUAGGCAACGUUGCAGGUGCAAACACUCAACAUCAGAACAACAACCUGACAAAGCACUGGAAAUGAGACUUAAUCUGCAUUUUCAAACUCAAUGAAAGAUACUCAACCAAUGAUUCCAAAUAGUUCAAAGUCUAUUAGUAGCAAGGAGAACCGCUGUAACUGGUUUCACGUCAAUGGUGCUUACAUUUAGAUAUUUUUCUCAUGUAAAGAAAGAAGGUGAGCCCAUUUUAAGAAGAUUGUCAAGUCUGUUUUAAGGGUACUAGCAGUGGUUACUGAUAACAAUACACAGAAGACUGUUGGCAUCUCUCUAAGGAAGAUUGUUAAACUAUUGAUAAGAGAUUAUUGACCUACUUGAGGAGAUGGUAAACUCGUUGAAGAGUCUGUGAACCUAAUGGAUGAAUAAUCCAUUAAUCCACGAGUGCAGACCAGGAAGACAGGAGUGCAGCCUGAUUCAUUCUACAAUCCUCUGGGAAAAAUCCUGUAAACUGAACUCUUGUUUUGUGUAUCAGAACUGAAUUGGGCCCAAGAAGGAAGCAAGCAACUGAAAGACUGAAAAGCUG